rnacentral:sRNA from 1 species
UGGAGCCCAGCCUGCUCACCGGAGAGGGUGGCUACUACCUGACCAGCCUCUCUGCCAGCCUGGCCCUGCUGAGUGGCCUGGGUCAGGCCCACACACUCCCACUGAGCCCUGCGCAGGAGCUACGGCGCUCCCUCAGCCUCUGGGAGCAGCGCCGCCUGCCUGCCACCCAGUGCUUUCAGGUAAUAGGCCCUCCACCGUGUCCUCAGAGCCAGACACCAUCCCCGCCUUUCACCUUCCUGUCCCUGGUGAAGAGUCCAGACUCUGUAGCCAGAUCCUGGGUUCUAAUCCUGGCUCUGCCACUGGGUUAUGGUGACUUGGGCAAGUUACUUGACUACUUUGCACCUCAGUUUUCUCAUCAGUAAAAUGGGGUAAUAGGACCUGCCUCCUGGGGUUGAGGUGAAGAUUAAAUGAGUUAAUGCAGGAGAGUGCUUGGGGCACAAAGUACUCAUUAUCAAAGCUUCAUCUCAGGCUUGUGAGCUCCCCACUGGGCUGUCCUUGCACCUGCGGCUGUGGCCCACAAGCUGACCCCUGGAGCUCACAGAGCUUUUGCUGCUUGGUUCUCCCACUGGAUUUCCACCUCCCCACCCUGUCCCUGCACAGCCCAGAAAGCUGAUGGCUCAGCUUUGGAGCCAGAUGCAUGCCAGCCAGGGCUGAGUACUUGUUUUUGCUUCUCCUCCUGCAUAGUACCUCCUCCGAGUAGCCUAUCAGGAUCCCAGCAGUGGCUGCACCUCCAAGACCCUGGCCGUGCCCCCAGAGGCCUCAAUCGCCACCCUGAACCAGCUCUGUGCCACCAAGUUCCGAGUGACCCAGCCCAACACUUUUGGCCUCUUCCUGUACAAGGAGCAGG